rnacentral:rRNA from 1 species
UACAGAGGUCUCAAGCGUUGUUCGGAUUCAUUGGGCGUAAAGGGUGCGUAGGUGGCGCGCUAAGUCAGGUGUGAAAUUUCGGAGCUCAACUCCGAAACUGCAUUUGAUACUGGCGUGCUUGAGGACUGGAGAGGAGACUGGAAUUACGGUGUAGCAGUGAAAUGCGUAGAGAUCGUAAGGAAGACCAGUGGCGAAGGCGGGUCUCUGGACAGUUCCUGACACUGAGGCACGAAGGCCAGGGGAGCAAACGGG